AUUGAACGCUGGCGGCAUGCCUUACACAUGCAAGUCGAACGGCAGCACGGGUGCUUGCACCUGGUGGCGAGUGGCGAACGGGUGAGUAAUACAUCGGAACAUGUCCUGUAGUGGGGGAUAGCCCGGCGAAAGCCGGAUUAAUACCGCAUACGAUCUACGGAUGAACGCGGGGGACCUUCGGGCCUCGCGCUAUAGGGUUGGCCGAUGGCUGAUUAGCUAGUUGGUGGGGUAAAGGCCUACCAAGGCGACGAUCAGUAGCUGGUCUGAGAGGACGACCAGCCACACUGGGACUGAGACACGGCCCAGACUCCUACGGGAGGCAGCAGUGGGGAAUUUUGGACAAUGGGCGAAAGCCUGAUCCAGAAAUGCCGCGUGUGUGAAGAAGGCCUUCGGGUUGUAAAGCACUUUUGUCCGGAAAGAAAUCCUUGGCCCUAAUACGGUCGGGGGAUGACGGUACCGUAAGAAUAAGCACCGGCUAACUACGUG
rnacentral:rRNA from 1 species